GACGAACCGUGCGAACGUUAUUCGGAAUCACUGGGCUUAAAGCGCGUGUAGGCGGAUGGGAACGUCGGUAGUUGAAAGCCCCCGGCUCAACCGGGGAAGUGGUGCCGAAACGACCCGUCUGGAGGGACGUAGGGGGACCUGGAACUUCCGGUGGAGCGGUGAAAUGCGUUGAGAUCGGAAGGAACGCCCGUGGCGAAAGCGGCCAUCUGGAUCAACACUGACGCUGAAGCACGAAAGCGUGGGGAGCAAACAGG
rnacentral:rRNA from 1 species